UUUGAGCUACAGGAUUUUGAAUAGAACAGAAAGCUGCAGCCCAAAUAUAUUUCAUGUUUUUAUUCUCUUCAGGCUGGUGGAGGGUCAUCAUGGUGUCUGUGGGUUUAGCAGCACUCGUAAUAACUGUUGUGGUGGUCAACAUAUGGAUGAGAACUAAAGGAAACAGAACCCAGAUGGAUGGCAAUGCUGAGCAUCAUGAUGAAGAUGAAGGUACAGUGACCUAUGAAAACAUUGGAGAACCUUCUGUUUCUAUCAGACUCCACUGAUCAACAACUUCAACAUCAACUCACCAGAAAAAGAGAAAAACUAACAUCAUUUUGAGUCAUAUCUAAAAACCGAAGUGUAACUUGUAAUUCAGUUUAUCAAUUACGUCUUGAUGUUAGGAUUUGAGUCAUUGCUUUUAAAGGUAAACUUUGCUCAAGUUUUUAA